AUUUUUGUCUUUUAGCAUGAGAGUGAGAAAGGAACAGAAGAAAAGUGUCCACUAGCUUUGCUUUGUCAAUAAUGGAGAUGAGCAGAGUGGUAAAUGACAGGAAUAUUUGGGCACACUAACACAUGUGAGAGCACUGAAUCAUUCUUCCCUUCUUUGAUUCAAUCAGACGUGUUUGGAGUGCAAAAAUUAGAAAACAGUAUUAUUCCCAGCAAAAGGAUGCCGACAUGAAGAUGGCUGUUACAUCAGAGUUUGAUGCACCAGAAGUGGCUCGAGCACUACCUUCUCUCCUAGUUUUUUCUACCUGUACAGCCUGCAACUGUGAUGAGGUGUUGAUGGUUGGUGUAGGGUUCAAUCAUGGAGCGAGGACAGAAACCCAGAGAUGAUGAGGAGGAAGGCCAAACAUGGAAGCUCUCAGACCAACUUGCCAGGAAAAGAGGAAGGAUAAGAUAGCUGC